GUGCGUAACGUGUGGAGGCUAUGCAGACCCAGAACCUACAGCGUCCCGCUGAUCUCAUCGGUUAACGGACUAAAGAAAGGACGAGGGUUUGAGAAAACACCUUAUCGUUACCGAAUACCGUGACGGAAGUGUAAUGCAACAGUGAAGAUAUCUUGUCGCUCGCGACAUGCGGAUGGCGCGUUAGGUGAAACUGUAAACUAAUGUAUGUCCGGUCAGCUGUUUUUAUUUACCGAGAGACAGCAGCAUCACCGGGACGUGUGCACGAGACCACAGACUAGCCUAUACCGGCGAUCCGGACACCCACAAACGGGCAGGACUAAGGGAGAGGAGGACGCAGAGAGAGAAAAUAAAAGAGUGAGAGAGAGAGAGAGAUGGAGUUUAAGCAGCUGGUGGAGGUGGCGGAGAAAUGGUGUUCGUCGGUUCCGUUCGAUCUGAUCUUCGCGGAGGAGGAUGAUGAGAGAAGACUGGACUUCUACGCAGAACCGGGAAUCUCUUUCUAUGUCCUUUGUCCCGAUAACAUGACGGGAGGGAUCGAGCAUUUCCAUGUAUGGAGUGAGAGUGAGGACUGCCUGCCAUUCCUCCAGGUAGCCCAGGACUACAUCACUUCCUGUGGAAAGAAGACACUUCUGGAGGUCCUGGACAAAGUGUUGACUUCCUUCAGACCUGCAAUUGCUGGGUCUACCAGACAUAGAUGAUGAGACGUUUGAGCAGUACCAUGCAGGCGUGGAGGAGGAACCAGAGGCAGACCACCAGCAAAUGGGAGUCAGCCAGCAGUGAUGCCCAUAGAUGAGGUGUCCAGUAGGGCUACAAUAACUACCCAUGCCCCUGGUCUCAUCACCUACAACAACACACAGGCCCAACGGCCCUGUAGCGACUAUACACAGUCAUAAUGUAUACUCACACACACACACAGGCCCAACGACCCUGUAGCGACUAUACACAGUCAUAAUGUAUACUCACACACACACACAGGCCCAACGACCCUGUAGCGACUAUACACAGUCAUAAUGUAUACUCACACACACACACAGGCCCAACGACCCUGUAGCGACUAUACACAGUCAUAAUGUAUACUCACACACACACACAGGCCCAACGACCCUGUAGUGACUAUACACAGUCAUAAUGUAUACUCACACACACACACAGGCCCAACGACCCUGUAGCGACUAUACACAGUCAUAAUGUAUACUCACACACACACACAGGCCCAACGACCCUGUAGCGACUAUACACAGUCAUAAUGUAUACUCACACACACACACAGGCCCAACGACCCUGUAGCGACUAUACACAGUCAUAAUGUAUACUCACACACACACACAGGCCCAACGACCCUGUAGCGACUAUACACAGUCAUAAUGUAUACUCACACACACACACACACAGGCCCAACGACUCUGUAGCGACUAUACACAGUCAUAAUGUAUACUCACACACACACACAGGCCCAACGACCCUGUAGCGACUAUACACAGUCAUAAUGUAUACUCACACACACACACAGGCCCAACGGCCCUGUAGCGACUAUACACAGUCAUAAUGUAUACUCACACACACACACAGGCCCAACGACCCUGUAGCGACUAUACACAGUCAUAAUGUAUACUCACACACACACACAGGCCCAACGACCCUGUAGCGACUAUACACAGUCAUAAUGUAUACUCACACACACACACAGGCCCAACGACCCUGUAGCGACUAUACACAGUCAUAAUGUAUACUCACACACACACACAGGCCCAACGACCCUGUAGCGACUAUACACAGUCAUAAUGUAUACUCACACACACACACAGGCCCAACGACCCUGUAGCGACUAUACACAGUCAUAAUGUAUACUCACACACACACACAGGCCCAACGACCCUGUAGCGACUAUACA